ACCAAUACCGGUUGAUUAAUCCAUUCCUCUCGGUUUAAUGGCACGGACGCAACAUUCAAUUUGUGGCUAUCCUGAUUGGUGAGUUUUUAAUAUCAUUGAAUCCCGGAAACACCUCAUAAAUUU